rnacentral:rRNA from 1 species
CCUACGGGCGGCUGCAGUGAGGAAUAUUGGUCAAUGGGCGGAAGCCUGAACCAGCCAAGUAGCGUGCAGGAUGACGGCCCUACGGGUUGUAAACUGCUUUUAUACGGGAAUAACGCGCCUUACGUGUAGGCCUUUGCAUGUACCUUAUGAGUAAGGACCGGCUAAUUCCGUGCCAGCAGCCGCGGUAAUACGGAGGGUCCGGGCGUUGCCCGGAUUUAUUGGGUUUAAAGGGAGCGUAGGCCGCAUGUCAAGCGUGCUGUGAAAUGUCCGGGCUCAACCCGGGCCUUGCAGCGCGAACUGGCGGGCUUGAGUCCGCGGAAGGCAGGCGGAAUUCGUCGUGUAGCGGUGAAAUGCUUAGAUAUGACGAAGAACCCCGAUUGCGAAGGCAGCUUGCUGCAGCGGAACUGACGCUGAUGCUCGAAAGCGCGGGUAUCGAACAGGAUUAGAUACCCCAGUAGUC